AUGAGUCUAAUACAUCCCAUCUAUGUCCCACCAAUGAACACUCAUACAUUGCUCAUCGACAAAGACCUGCUAGAACACUUUGACCCUUUUCUGAACUUCAAACAGCUAAAAGACUUUGCUCAAGUGCGAGAACCUCUUUCUCUCCAGCCACACAGGUUGCUAGAGCCAGACUGUCAGGUCACAGAGGUCACGGGAACCCCAGCAGCCAGCCAUGAGUACAACGCCCUAACGACAGGCUUAAGUUCAUGCCUCUGUACCUUAGUCAACAAACAGGGUACGGUGGUACCAGCUUACACCAAAGGGGUCGCUGUUCGGCUCAACCUGCAAUGUGAUCAAACCUUACACCACACGCUGGGUUUCUUCCAACCCUCACCUGAAUGUGUAGAACUCGGACUCACACUUGCAAACAACAAGCAUGUCAAACACCAACACCUGUUCCAGCAAGGUGAUAACAUCACAAAAACACUCAAUGUGAUCGGGUACUGGAAGAAGGCAAAAGGACACUCGAAGUUACCAAGUCUAGACAAGGACUUUAAAGAUCACACUGACACCCUUGCCAAAACUGGCACACUAAACAACAUUCUGUGGUCACUCCCAACCCACCCACCCACAUUCAAGGUUGAAGUGAUUACACACAGCAGAAGAACUUUACUAGCUAAACUGCCUACCUCAGAAUCGCUUACGCUGGCUCUGUUGUCUACACAGACCAACAUAGCGGACAUGCGUGCUUCUGAAAACUCGAUAAUGACUUUGCUUUACCCCCUCUCAGACCCCUCCAUCCACCCUGGCAACCAGUCUACAGUCACUGACAACCAAAGCCCCAGACCACUGCAUGAUACACAAACCAUGCUGCGUGCACAGAACAAUAUUGUGGGUUGUGCACCGUCUGACAUCACAAUGCCAGGGCUUGUAAUGCCACGGAGCAAAAGGGGGAUAAUGCCAAUAUAUUUCCAUGAAGCAGCAUGUGCUGCACCACGCAGCACCAGAGCCACUGACAAAACACUGAAGCAAGUGUCAUGCCAGCAGCAAGAUGUGGCAAAACAUGGGCGAGGGCGAGCUAAACCCAGUCGCCGCCCACUAAGCAAAGAGGCUGCCCUGUCCAACCAAAGACAGCCCUCGUUUGUUUCUUUCUCACCUUUCUCUCUCUCUCUCCCUAUUAUCUGUACCAGGAUGCUGCUGUGGUUUGCCGUGCCGUGCUGUCAGCCAAAGAGAGGACAGCUGCCACCGAGAAAACCGCCGAGACUCCUGACUACCGAUGACAGGGCACACUACCCAAGCACUGUAACCUCAGCUGUACAAGGUUCCGAUGGAGAGAGGACUCCGUCACUCACACUGAGGCCGAUGUCAAACACAUGUUCAUCCAACAUGAGAAAGUGA
rnacentral:lncRNA from 1 species